GACGAACGCUGGCGGCGUGCUUAACACAUGCGAGUCGAGCGGAAAGGCCACUUCGGUGGUACUCGAGCGGCGAACGGGUGAGUAACACGUGAGUAAUCUGCCCCUGGCUUUGGGAUAGCCACCGGAAACGGUGAUUAAUACCGGAUACGACCACUUCUCGCAUGGGAUGGUGGUGGAAAGUUUUUUCGGCCAGGGAUGUGCUCGCGGCCUAUCAGCUUGAUGGUGAGGUAAUGGCUCACCAUGGCUUCGACGGGUAGCCGGCCUGAGAGGGUGAACGGUCACGCUGGGACUGAGACACGGGCGAGACUCCUACGGGAGGCAGCAGUGGGGAAUAUUGGACAAUGGGCGGAAGCCUGAUCCAGCAACGCCGCGUGAGGGAUGACGGCCUUCGGGUUGUAAACCUCUUUGAGCAGGGACGAAGCGCAAGUGACGGUACCUGCAGAAGAAGCACCGGCCAACUACGUGCCAGCCGCCGCCGUAA
rnacentral:rRNA from 1 species